CCCAGACAGCCAGGAUGUUGGCUUAGAAGCAGCCAUCAUUUAAAGAAAGCGUAAUAGCUCACUGGUCGAGUCGGCCUGCGCGGAAGAUGUAACGGGGCUAAACCAUGCACCGAAGCUGCGGCAGCGAACGUAUCACUUAAAGCGAUUCAGCGGGUUACGAUUGACGGAGCGAAGCGACGUCAAAGCGUAUACAAAGUCGAGUCGGUUUAAGGAUACGUUCGUUGGGUAGGGGAGCGUUCUGUAAGCCCGUGAAGGUGGCCUGUGAGGGUUGCUGGAGGUAUCAGAAGUGCGAAUGCUGACAUAAGUAACGAUAAAGCGGGUGAAAAGCCCGCUCGCCGGAAGACCAAGGGUUCCUGUCCAACGUUAAUCGGGGCA
rnacentral:rRNA from 1 species